rnacentral:rRNA from 1 species
CCUACGGGACGCAGCAGUGGGGAAUAUUGCGCAAUGGGCGAAAGCCUGACGCAGCGACGCCGCGUGAGGGAUGAAGGUCUUCGGAUCAUAAACCUCUGUCAGCAGGGAAGAACGGUCACUGUGCUAAUCAGCAGUGAAUUGACGGUACCUGCAAAGGAAGCACCGGCUAACUCCGUGCCAGCAGCCGCGGUAAUACGGAGGGUGCGAGCGUUAAUCGUAAUUACUGUGCGUAAAGCGCUCGUAGGCGGUAUGUCAAGUCAAGAGUGAAAUCCCCGCGCUCACCGUGCGCACUGACUUUGAACCUG